rnacentral:misc_RNA from 1 species
GAACGCACAUUGCGCCCCUUGGUAUUCCGAGGGGCAUGCCUGUUCGAGCGUCAUUUCAACCCUCAAGCCUGGCUUGGUAUUGGGGCCUGCUGUUACCGGCAGCCCUUAAAGGCAGUGGCGGCGCCACCUGGCUCUAAGCGUAGUAACUUACCCGCUACAGAGUCCCGGUAGAUGCUUGCCAGCAACCCCUAAUUUUCUAUGGUUGACCUCGGAUCAGGUAGGGAUACCCGCUGAACUUAAG